UCAUGUAGGAGUCAGAACCACUCAGGACACAGCAUGGACAUGAGGGUCCCCGCUCAGCUCCUGGGGCUCCUUCUGCUCUGGCUCCCAGGUGCCAGAUGUGACAUCCAGAUGACCCAGUUUCCAUCUUCCCUGUCUGCAUCUGUAGGAGAUAGAGUCACCAUCACUUGCAGGGCAAGUCAGGGCAUUAGCAAUUAUUUAAAUUGGUAUCAGCAGAAACCAGGAAAAGCUCCUAAGCUUCUGAUCUAUGCUGCAUCCAGAUUGGAAAGUGGGGUCCCAUCAAGGUUCAGUGGCAGUGGAUCUGGGACAGAAUUCACUCUCACCAUCAGCAGCCUGCAGCCUGAAGAUUUUGCAACUUAUUACUGUCUACAGUAUAAGAGUGACCCUCCCACAGUGUUACACACACGAACAAAAACCCUCAGGGAAGCAGAUGUGUGA